rnacentral:rRNA from 1 species
UUGACGGCGGGGUAACGGCCCACCGUGGCAUCGAUCGGUAGGGGUUCUGAGAGGAAGGUCCCCCACAUUGGAACUGAGACACGGUCCAAACUCCUACGGGAGGCAGCAGUGAGGAAUAUUGGUCAAUGGGCGGAAGCCUGAACCAGCCAAGUAGCGUGAAGGACGACUGCCCUAUGGGUUGUAAACUUCUUUUAUGCGGGGAUAAAGUUCGCCACGUGUGGCGUUUUGCAGGUACCGCAUGAAUAAGGACCGGCUAAUUCCGUGCCAGCAGCCGCGGUAAUACGGAAGGUCCAGGCGUUAUCCGGAUUCAUUGGGUUUAAAGGGAGCGUAGGCCGCCUUUUAAGCGUGUUGUGAAAUGUAGGGGCUCAACCCCUGCACUGCAGCGCGAACUGGAGGGCUUGAGUACACACAAAGUAGGCGGAAUUCAUGGUGUAGCGGUGAAAUGCUUAGAUAUCAUGAAGAACCCCGAUU